UGCAAGUCGAACGGUAACGCGCGGGACAACCUGGCGACGAGUGGCGAACGGGUGAGUAAUACAUCGGAACGUGCCCAGUAGUGGGGGAUAGCCCGGCGAAAGCCGGAUUAAUACCGCAUACGACCUACGGGUGAAAGCGGGGGAUCGCAAGACCUCGCGCUAUUGGAGCGGCCGAUGUCAGAUUAGCUAGUUGGUGGGGUAAAGGCCUACCAAGGCGACGAUCUGUAGCUGGUCUGAGAGGACGACCAGCCACACUGGGACUGAGACACGGCCCAGACUCCUACGGGAGGCAGCAGUGGGGAAUUUUGGACAAUGGGGGCAACCCUGAUCCAGCCAUGCCGCGUGCGGGAAGAAGGCCUUCGGGUUGUAAACCGCUUUUGUCGGGGAAGAAACGGUUUGCGCUAAUACCGCGGGCUAAUGACGGUACCCGAAGAAUAAGCCCCGGCUAAUUACGUGCCAGCAGCCGCGGUAAUACGUAGGGGUGCAAGCGUUAAUCGGAAUUACUGGGCGUAAAAGCGUGCGCAGGCGGCUUUGCAAGACAGAUGUGAAAUCCCCGGGCUCAACCUGGGAACUGCAUUUGUGACUGCAUGGCUGGAGUGCGGCAGAGGGGGAUGGAAUUCCGCGUGUAGCAGUGAAAUGCGUAGAUAUGCGGAGGAACACCGAUGGCGAAGGCAAUCCCCUGGGCCUGCACUGACGCUCAUGCACGAAAGCGUGGGGAGCAAACAGGAUUAGAUACCCUGGUAGUCCACGCCCUAAACGAUGUCAACUGGUUGUUGGACGGCUUGCUGUUCAGUAACGAAGCUAACGCGUGAAGUUGACCGCCUGGGGAGUACGGCCGCAAGGUUGAAACUCAAAGAAAUUGACGGGGACCCGCACAAGCGGUGGAUGAUGUGGUUUAAUUCGAUGCACCGCGAAAAACCUUACCUACCCUUGACAUGCCAGGAACUUGCCAAAAAUGGCUUGGUGCUCGAAAGAGAACCUGGACACAGGUGCUGCAUGGCCGUCGUCAGCUCGUGUCGUGAGAUGUUGGGUUAAGUCCCGCAACGAGCGCAACCCUUAUCAUUAGUUGCUACGCAAGGGCACUCUAAUGAGACUGCCGGUGACAAACCGGAGGAAGGUGGGGAUGACGUCAGGUCAUCAUGGCCCUUAUGGGUAGGGCUACACACGUCAUACAAUGGCCGGUACAGAGGGCUGCCAACCCGCGAGGGGGAGCUAAUCUCAGAAAACCGGUCGUAGUCCGGAUCGCAGUCUGCAACUCGACUGCGUGAAGUCGGAAUCGCUAGUAAUCGCGGAUCAGCUUGCCGCGGUGAAUACGUUCCCGGGUCUUGUACACACCGCCCGUCACACCAUGGGAGCGGGUUCUGCCAGAAGUAGUUAGCCUAACCGCAAGGAGGGCGAU
rnacentral:rRNA from 1 species